GUGCUGGGGACAUGUCCAGGCUGUUCCAUCUCCUCCUGGGGAGCUCCUGCCUUUCCUUGUGUUAAUCCACCCAGACUCUCCCUGUUUUUUUCCAUGGGAUGAUGUAAAGUACAAAGGCUCCUUUCAGGAGUUCUUUGUUUUCCUGUGCAGUGAUUCAGCCCCUCAUCUCAGUCUCUCCUUCCCCAGCUGCUGCAGCCCUUCCCUCCUGAGCUGCUUCCAGCUCCUGCAUUAGAGUGAACAACAAUGCACUGUGGGGUGUUCCAGGCAGCCUUUUCCCCUCCAAUCCUUCGGGAAGUGUCCUCCUGAUGCUCCUGCUCCUGCUCCCUGGCAGUGGCUCAGCCUCUUCUGGGCUGCUUUUGUUGCUGGUGCCUGGCUCUAAGGGGUUAAUGCUGCCUUUUUCCAUGCAUUUGUUUUUUCCUGCCUGGGUAUUUUCAAGCUGACAGCCUGAGCACUGGAAAUGUUGGAGUGGGCAUUGGAUGGGGUGGGAUAAGUGAGUGGUGGGAAUAGGAGUGGAUUCCCUGGGAUUUAAUUCCAUGUCUGUGCCCAGCACUGUCCCUCCUGCACUUUGUGUGGUGAGGGACCUGGGAAUGUUUCAGGGAAUGAUUUUGUGCCCCCUUUGUAGGAUCCCAGACUGGAUUGGGAUGGAAGGGACCUUAAAACCCAUCCAGUCCCACAAGCUGAGACACUUCCCACUAUCCCAGUUCCUCCAAGCCCUGUCCAGCCUGGCUUUGGGCACUUUUGGGUGUAGCAUUCCCAAGCCUCCCAGCUCCUUCCUUCAUCCAGGCUGUGAAAACUUCCUUGGCAGAAAUCCAGCAACUCCUGGAGGACACAAUUCCAGUUUUUUCCUCACCCUGUGGAUGAAGGCACCACUGGGAUUUUUGUUUGCUGGGAAAUUGUUAAUGCAUGUCAGAAGUGUCUUCACCUCCCAUUGCUCCCAAGAAGCACAACAUGGAGAAAGAGGAUCUGUCCCGAGCCUGCAGAUGUCCUUGUGCCUUGUUAAGGGGAAUUUUAAUCAGGAAUUCAUUAAAUUGGAUCUGGGUGGGCUCA